rnacentral:rRNA from 1 species
UUAAAACGCCCGUAGUAUAUCUAAGGGUGCAAGCGUAGUGAUUGGUCUUGUCACAACCUGAUCGGGAUGAGGUUAUAACUCGUUCUUGUCUAGUUGUGAUAAACUUUAGUCGGGUAGGGCUUUUUGGUCCUUUCUCGACAGUUACUGCGUUUGUACUCAACCCACGGUUCAUCCGUGUGGCCCUUUUGGGUUGCAACUGUAAAUAAAUCGUUGUGCUUAAAGCGGGCUAUGAAUACUCUGCCAGAACGAUUUAGCAUGGGACUGCAGAGUAGCUGUACUGAAUGAAAUUUGGGCUUCGGUCUGGACGUAGUUCAAUACAGCGCUUGUAACGGAGCUUAGGGCGAGGCCCCGGGUACCAUGAGGCUAGAGGUGAAAUUCUGAGACCCUCAUGUGACCAACUAAGGCGAAAGCUGUCGUAGGCCAUCACAAGCUCAUCUAUCAGGGACGAAAGUUGGGGGAUCGAAGACGAUUAGAUACCGUCGUAGUCCCAACUAUAAACGAUACCAACCGAGGAAUUGGGAAGACACUAUCCCAGCGAUCUUCUCAGAACUCAAGGGAAACCUAAAGUCUUUGGGUUCUGGGGGGAGUAUAGUCGCAAGACCGAAACUUAAAGGAAUUGACGGAAAGGCACCACC